rnacentral:rRNA from 1 species
UACGUAGGGGGCAAGCGUUAUCCGGAAUUACUGGGUGUAAAGGGUGAGUAGGCGGCAUGGUAAGCAAGAUGUGAAAGCCCGCGGCUUAACCGCGGGAUUGCAUUUUGAACUACCAAGCUAGAGUACAGGAGAGGAAAGCGGAAUUCCUAGUGUAGCGGUGAAAUGCGUAGAUAUUAGGAAGAACACCAGUGGCGAAGGCGGCUUUCUGGACUGAAACUGACGCUGAUGCACGAAAGCGUGGGGAGCGAAC